rnacentral:misc_RNA from 1 species
AUAUGUCUCGCACAAUGGACGUAAUCAACCAACGUGAGCUUCCAACUGUUCGGAAAUGGGUGCAAGCAAAUUACACACUGUCAAAUUUCCAAGCAACAUGUAAAAUGUGUCAAAAAACUUUUUACUUCGCCAGCACAGAAGGCUUUCAGGAUCAUAUAAAACGCAAACAUAAAACUACUUAUCAAUUUGAAGAGACACAUAAAGGUGAGCGUUGGAAAAACUUCAGAAAAAUCGACGAUUCAAACGAUGUUAAAUGUGUUGUAUGUGAUAAUCUUGUUUCCAUCGACGAUACCUUCAUUCACCAGCAUCGCGCAGAUAGACAAAUUGUAACUGACAUUGAUUAUGACUGGGUGUUCAAAUAUUUUAGACUGACUGUUAUUAGUUAUGUUUAUUCAGCGUAUUGUAUUCUUUGUGAACGCAAUGAAACUAUAACGUUUGAAGAAACCAUAUUCUUGCAUUUUAAAAAAAAUCAUCCAGAAAAAUGGGGGGAGAGACUACCGUAUAGUAAACAACAAGCAAAAAAACUAGGUGUAAAAUUAAAAAGACUGAAGAUGUUAUUAAAAAUAUAUGACUGUGGCCAAUGGGACUUAUGUGAUCGGCAAUAUCGCAAAAUGGCUAUAGAGUGGUUGAAAGGAAAAUAUCAAUUAAAAUCGAAUUUUCGAGCAGAAUGUAAAAAAUGUUUUGGCAUUUUUAGCACUAUCGACACAUUACGCUUUGGUCAACAUAUAUUUAAUGAUCAACCUAAUCUUUAUUAUAUAGAAAACCAUCGACUUAGGAGCUAUUACAAAAAUGCAUAUUGGAUCAAUUUUAGGAGUUUUAUAUGGAAACAGGAAGCACAAUGUGUUAUAUGUGGCGACGAGUUUUCAAUGAUAACGGACGACUGGAAAAAGCAUCAUCAUGAUAAUGAUAAUAAUUACAUUCGUCAUUACACAUGGCCUUGCAAAUAUCUGAUACCAAUCGAAAACAAUAAUGAUAAUUUUAAAGGAUAUUGCAUAGCAUGUAAAAAAAACAUAUCUUUAAAUCUAUGCCUGCAAUAUACUUAUUCCUUCACAUAUUCAACAAUGAGUGUCGAAAUUUGAUGAGGAGAGAUUAUCUAGGACCAGAAAAUGAUCCACGACCAAGAGAUGAUCUAGCAAUGCAAGGACAAGGAAUGGAAGGACCUAGACCAUUCGACGAACCGUCAACAAGCCGUGUAAUAAACUGAAAAGGAGCGUCGAUGUAGUUAAUCUUUUGACAAUGGAGAUGACGAUAACCGAAUUGAGAUCGAGCCACAAACAGCAAUAACGUCAGCCUUUACUUUGAUCACUUAAUUAAUUUUAAAUGUAUAAAAAAUUUAUCUUCAACGUCUGUAUACGUCAGUAUGAUUCUUAUAAAGUUAUAAACAGCUUUAUAAAUUUAUAUC